UACGGAGGGGGCUAGCGUUGUUCGGAAUUACUGGGCGUAAAGCGCACGUAGGCGGAUCAGUCAGUUAGGGGUGAAAGCCCAGGGCUCAACCCUGGAACUGCCUUUAAUACUGCUGGUCUGGAGGUCGAGAGAGGUGAGUGGAAUUCCGAGUGUAGAGGUGAAAUUCGUAGAUAUUCGGAGGAACACCAGUGGCGAAGGCGAGUCCCUGGACACUUCCUGACACUGAGGCACGAAAGCUAGGGGAGCAA
rnacentral:rRNA from 1 species